CCCGGCUGCGGGCGGCCGUGGUCAUGACGGCCGGCAGCCAGGCCGAGGGCGCGGACCUCGACCCCGCCUCCGCGCGGCUGCCCUCCCGGCUGGCCAAGCUGCUGUCGGCGCUUUUCUACGGGACUUGCUCCUUCCUCAUCGUGCUGGUCAACAAGGCACUGCUGACCACCUAUCGAUUCCCAUCACCAAUUUUUCUUGGAAUUGGGCAGAUGGCAGUGACCAUAAUGAUACUGUAUGUAUCCAAACUAAAUAAACUAAUUCAUUUCCCUGACUUUGACAAGAAAAUUCCUGUGAAGCUGUUUCCUCUGCCUCUCCUCUACGUUGGAAACCACAUAAGUGGAUUAUCAAGCACAAGUAAAUUAAGCUUGCCGAUGUUCACCGUGCUCAGGAAAUUUACCAUUCCACUCACUUUACUCCUGGAAACCAUCAUACUUGGGAAACAGUAUUCCUUGAGCAUCAUCGUCAGUGUUUUUACCAUUGUGCUUGGUGCUUUCAUAGCAGCUGGUUCUGACCUCGCCUUUAACUUGGAAGGCUAUAUUUUUGUAUUCCUGAAUGAUAUCUUCACAGCAGCAAAUGGAGUUUAUACCAAACAGAAAAUGGACCCCAAGGAGUUGGGGAAAUAUGGAGUGCUUUUCUACAAUGCCUGCUUCAUGAUUAUACCGACUCUUAUCAUUAGUGUCUCUACCGGAGACCUUCAACAGGCUACUGAAUUCAAUGAAUGGAAGAAUGUUCUCUUUAUCGUACAGUUUCUUCUUUCCUGUUUUUUGGGGUUUCUGUUGAUGUAUUCCACAGUUCUGUGCAGCUUUUACAAUUCGGCCCUCACAACAGCAGUGGUUGGAGCCAUCAAGGUAAGCAGGUGAAGGCUUGGGAAAUGGGGAACUGGCCGUGAAUCCAGUCUUCACAAGAGGAGCAGGGUUCGAUUUUAUGGUUGCAAUGGGGGCGGGGCGAGGGUGGGGGUGGGUGGGUAGAGAAAGCGUACAGACUUGUGACCUUUGCAGCUGUACCUGGGUCACCUCUUCUUAGAUCUUCUCAUCCCCUAAUCCAUGAACAAGAGGGAGGGCUUGCUAAUUUAAAAAGAAGAGACAAAUUACGACCUUUAAUUCGAGGAUGGUCUCAGAGGGGAGGGUCUGAGAAAAUGAAGUAAACAAAGCAGAAAAAAAUGUCCAAAUCUCUGUAUUCACCAAGAUGCCUUGUUAGGUGCCUUGUUUGUAAACUUGGUUCUGGGAGAACCUGUUGACUAAGAAAGGGAAGCCUUGUGAAGACAUGUUUUUAAUGUAGAUAUAUGCACAAUGUAUAAGGUACUAAACUCAUGGACUGUGUGUAAGUGUGUCUGUGUCUGUGUGUCUGAAUACACACAGCAGUGAAGAGGAGGGCGGGGUGUUCUGUGCUCUGUCCCACAGUUGCUUUGAUUUUCCAAUCACACCAAUAGAGCGAGUGAGAAAGACUGUCUGCUCUAGCAGCAGACUGUCUGUUGGCUGCCCAGACCUCCUAGAAUACACAGGGCAGGGCACUGCUUGGAAUUUGCUGUAUGUCUAAUCCAUGCAAGUUUAGGGUCCAGUAUGAUAAAAUUUACCAACCAGUGAUGCUGAAGAGAUGGGAUCUGGAAAGCUGAUUACAGCUCAAUGCUUACAUCUUUUUUUUUUUUUUUUCUUUUCCUAUGUAUUAACUAUAAGGGGCACGAAUGAUGCAGUGUUCUGUAAUUAUCAUGCCACGGAAAGCCAUAUGUAAUGGUUUUUUUCUUCAUUCAUUCAACAUUCUGUGAGCAGCUACUGUAAUGUAUCCAUUGCCUACAUUGGAAUGUUAGUUGGUGGAGACUAUAUUUUCUCUAUGUUAAACUUUGUAGGGUUAAAUAUUUG